ensembl:lncRNA
GUAGGAGUUUCAUUACUGCUUUCCUACUCUUUGGGAGCUUGGGGCAGGUGACAGCAGCCACAUCUCCCAUGUGUGCCUACGAGAGAGAUGAGAAAGAGAGGAGUGGAAGAGUGGAAGCAGGGGGCUGAGAGUGCCCAGGUUCUGCCAAUGAGCAGCUGUCUGAGCACUAUAAAAGCUGACUGGUGGUGUGAUGGGGCUUGAUACCUUGGGAAGGUGCUUGUUGUUAUGGUCUGGGAUGCUGCCAGGUGGCUCUUGGUCAAGGAGGAAGAGCAGGAAGACUGGUUCCUGGCUUGGUACUUCAAGAUGCAGUGGGGGAGUGGUUUUCCCAUUGUUUCUUCUAACCGCUGCUCUAUUUUUGUUCAAAACGCUCCUUUGCCUUGAGGAAGCUGUGUCACCAGAUGUCCCUGAUGCUGCUCCCUGAUGAACCAGAGCUGUGGGCAAUGGAGAUGAAUCCAGCCUGGCAUAGCAGCCUGUUUGAUGCCCGUUGGGAAAUGACAAUGACUGGAUUCAGCACCCAGCAGGUCUGGGACCAAGGAAUCUACUUUUGUUGGGAAAUGGACAUCACCAGCUCCACUUUCAGAAAAUGACUGAUGUUGAUGUUAUUAAGGAGACUGAAGCUACAAUCUGCUGUGAGUAAAAC